rnacentral:rRNA from 1 species
CGGCGGACGGGUGAGUAACGCGUGGGUAACCUACCCUGUACACACGGAUAACAUACCGAAGGUAUGCUAAUACGGGAUAAUAUAUUUGAGAGGCAUCUCUUGAAUAUCAAAGGUGAGCCAGUACAGGGUGGACCCGCGUCUGAUUAGCUAGUUGGUAAGGUAACGGCUUACCAAGGCGACGAUCAGUAGCCGACCUGAGAGGGUGAUCGGCCACAUUGGAACUGAGACACGGUCCAA